rnacentral:rRNA from 1 species
GAGCACGUAGGUGGGUUUGUAAGUCAGAUGUGAAAGCCUUCUGUUCAACGGAAGAAUUGCAUCUGAAACUGCGAGUCUUGAGUGUAGGAGGGGAGAAUGGAACUUCUGGUGGAGCGGUGAAAUGCGCAGAUAUCAGAAGGAACUCCGGCGGCGAAAGCGAUUCUCUGGCCUAUUACUGACACUCAGUGUGCGAAAGCUAGGGGAGCAAACGGGAUUAGAUACCCCGGUAGUCCUAGCCGUAAACGAUGGGCACUAAGUAGAGGGGUUUU